AGCUGUGAUGGCUCCAGUCUCAAAAAGAUAUGAACUAUAAUCUCUAAAAAAAAUAACUAUGUAUCAUAUUGUAUUAACUAUGUACCAGAAUAAAAUAACUAUGUAUCAUAUUUAUUUAACUGUAUAUCAUGAUACCUUAAUUUCGUACCAUAUUUAUAAAAAUAACAUGCAUGGUUUAUGACUAAAAAAAAUGAGCAAUAUUAGUCUGAAACAUAAAUCAGACAAAAGAUAUUUGGCUACAUC
rnacentral:lncRNA from 1 species